rnacentral:rRNA from 1 species
CUACGGGGUGCUGCAGUGAGGAAUAUUGCACAAUGGGGGGAACCCUGAUGCAGCAACGCCGCGUGGAGGAUGACGCAUUUCGGUGUGUAAACUCCUUUUAUAUGUCAAGAAAAUGACGGUAGCAUAUGAAUAAGCACCGGCUAACUCCGUGCCAGCAGGCCGCGGUAAUACGGAGGGUGCAAGCGUUACUCGGAAUCACUGGGCGUAAAGGACGCGUAGGCGGGUUGGAAAGUCAGGUGUGAAAUCCUACAGCUUAACUGUAGAGCUGCACUUGAAACUUCUAAUCUAGAGUAUGGGAGGGGGAGAUGGAAUUAGUGGUGUAGGGGUAAAAUCCGUAGAUAUCACUAGGAAUACCUAAAGCGAAGGCGAUCUCCUGGAACAUUACUGACGCUAAGGCGUGAAAGCGUGGGGAGCAAACAGGAUUAGAUACCCCAGUAGUC